AGUCGAACGGGGACAGACGGAAACCUAGUGAAGUCUGUCCGAGUGGCGGACGGGUGAGUAACGCGUGGAUAACCUGCCGCAUGCAGGGGGAUACCGGCUGGAAACAGCCGCUAAUACCGCAUAAGCGCACGGUGCCGCAUGGCAGAGUGCGAAAAGGAGAAAUCCGGCAAGCGAUGGAUCCGCGUCCGAUUAGCCAGUUGGCGGGGUAAGGGCCCACCAAAGCGACGAUCGGUAGCCGGCCUGAGAGGGCGGACGGCCACAUUGGGACUGAGACACGGCCCAGACUCCUACGGGAGGCAGCAGUGGGGGAUAUUGCACAAUGGGGGAAACCCUGAUGCAGCGACGCCGCGUGGGUGAAGAAGUAUUUCGGUAUGUAAAGCCCUAUCAGCAGGGAAGAAAGAAGACGGUACCUGACUAAGAAGCCCCGGCUAACUACGUGCCAGCAGCCGCGGUAAUACGUAGGGGGCGAGCGUUAUCCGGAUUCACUGGGUGUAAAGGGAGCGUAGACGGCCGUGCAAGCCAGGAGUGAAAGCCCGGGGCCCAACCCCGGGACUGCUCUUGGAACUGUGCGGCUGGAGUGCGGGAGGGGCAGGCGGAAUUCCUGGUGUAGCGGUGAAAUGCGUAGAUAUCAGGGGAAACACCGGCGGCGAAGGCGGCCUGCUGGACCGCGACUGACGUUGAGGCUCGAAAGCGUGGGGA
rnacentral:rRNA from 1 species